rnacentral:rRNA from 1 species
UUAAAGGGCCGUGGUAUACUGACCAUGCGAAGGUAGCAUAAUCAUUAGCCUUUUGAUUUGAGGCUGGAAUGAAUGGUCUGACGAGAGGCAACCUGUCUCCUUAAUUAACUUGAAUUUAAUCUUUAAGUGAAAAAGCUUAAAUAGCCUUGGAGGACGAUAAGACCCUAUAGAUCUUUACAUCCGGCUUUUUCAUCUAACGGUGGGUAAUCGGGUGGAAGAGGAGGAUGUUUGGUUGGGGCGACGUCGAGAGGAGAAUAAACACUCGAGAAUAUACAUACAUCAAUAAAUGAUCAUUGAUCCUUAGAUGAAAAUAGAGUAAGUUACCUUAGGGAUAACAGCGUAAUUCUUUUUGAGAGCUCAAAUCGACAAAAGAGUUUGCGACCUCGAUGUUGGUUCAGGGACCCUAUUUGGUGCAGCAGCUUAAUCAGGUAGUC